GCGGAGCAGAAGAAGGAGGAGGAGGAUCUUCUGGGCAACAAGAGGAAGUGGGACAAGACUGGGUUCUACCCAUAUGAGUCUGAUGAAGAUGAGCCGUACGAGUAUGAAUCUGGAGAUGAUGUGGUCGAGGGGAACG